GGGUAGCUUUGCACAGACCCUGGUGACCUGAGGCUUCCUGGCUAUCACUCUGUCCCAUGCUGUCCUGGCCCGCGGGGCGCAGCCUGAGUCCCAGUAAAGUCUGUUGCAUCUUGACCCUGGCAUCUGGCCACCAGUGGAAG
rnacentral:miRNA from 1 species